GGUCAGCUGACACAUCCCUGCCAAUCUCCGGCAGACCCUCCCUCCCAGACCCUCCCAACUCCUGGACAGCAUCCAUGUUGAAGCUGCCUUCAACAUGGAUGCUGUCCAGGAAGUAGGAGGGUCUGGGAGGGAGGGUCUGCCGGAGAUCGGCAGGGAUGUGUCAGCUG
rnacentral:miRNA from 1 species